CAGCAAACCUAAAAGACAAUCCCCAGGCCCUGCUGAGCUCAUGUGUUAUCCUGGCUGUGACGAUGCAGUCCUCAGGGGCUCUCUGACUCAACUCACGAUGUCUGUCCUGAGAACGGUCCUUAUCACCUCUCACUCAGAUGGUGGCAAGAGCCUUCUGGCCACUUCACCAUGGAGGCGGUGAACUGCAUGGGAACAGCACAGGCCUUAAAGUCAGAAAACCCACAAUUCGAUUCCUGUCUUCGCCUUGUACUAGUGGUGCAAGCUCUGUGGGCUUCCCUCUCCUCCCCUCCACUCACCCCAUGGGGAGUUGGUGAGGACUCACCAAGGGCUUUGUACUACAGUAUUGGGCACUCGCAUGGCUUUUCACAUGCAGACGUGUUCACGUCUGUUCUCUUCCCUCGGAUAUGGUCACCUCUGAAUCUCA